rnacentral:lncRNA from 1 species
AAUUUUAAAAGUAAAAGACUAAAACAAUUAAUACAAUGACACCUAUGGUUUGGAUAUCUCGACCAUUUGAUGGAGUACCUUUAAGAAGGUACGUCUCUUUCUUUUUCAUAACCUUUUUUUUUUAUAAUAUUUACCAUUAUUUUUAGUAAAAAAAACCAGAGAGACUAGCAAUGCAGCUGCUCUAAAACCUUACUUAAGAGAUUGAAGUUAAUCAUGGUCUAAUGGAUCGAGCUGCUCUAAUGCUGCGUCUUCUAUAAUACGACACGUAGACCCCACUUCUGCUC